rnacentral:lncRNA from 1 species
GAGCCCAAAUUUGGUAGCUAUGUUUUCUGCUUUUAGUUAUUUUUUUCUUUUUAAUGGUAACGUAUUUAUUGUUUUUGAUAAGGAGAGGUGGGCAUUGUCCUGGUCUGUGCACCUUAAGUGCCGUGUCUAGUCUAGGAUGGCAGCGAGUUCCUUGCAUCGUCAAAUGUUCAUUCCCUUCUAGUGGUAGAAUGAAACCAAAUGUCACCGGAUUUAUUUUUCGAUGGCACAUAGUGAGAAAGUUGUACUUAUUAGAAUUUUAUGGUUUUGCAUGAGCAUUAUCUUUCUGGUAUGCCUUCAAAACUGUAAAGUAAAUGGCCCCGAAGUAGCCAAUGAUGCGCUAUUUGCUAAAUGGUGCGUGGUAGAAUUAAUACAUCCGAUGUACUCCUAAUAAUAUUUCGGGAUAUUUUAUUAAGGCUUAUUGUCAAAUAGGAUUAGGCACUCCUAUGUCUUAUGGGACAUAGCCAGAAACCAUAAUUAAAAGGGUUAAGAGUUUAAACAAUAAUGUCACACAAAAUGAAAAUAUAAUCUUCAUUGAAUGAUAGGACGAUAGGACUUUUCAUCAAAUAAUGUCUUCGCUUCAUUGAAUGAUAGGACGAUAGGACUUUUCAUCAAAUAAUGUCUUCGCACUCGAUCUUGAACAUUAGGAUCGUAGUCUAAAAUUGGAGUCUGAAGUCACGGAUCUCCAGGAAGGUUCUCUAUGUUAAACUCGUUGACAUAAUGGUUUGACAUAACAAUAUCUUUAAAUGCAUUACUUGUACCAAUAUCUUCAUAUGCAUUACUUGUCGGGUGAGCUUGAUAUAGUAUUGAUGGAUUUGUCAAGUUUGCUUCUUUUGGAUGGUGUUCCGAAGUACCUUCGUUAUAUCUAUUUCUUUUUG